GACGAACGCUGGCGGCGUGCUUAACACAUGCAAGUCGAACGGAAAGGCCCUGCUUUUGUGGGGUGCUCGAGUGGCGAACGGGUGAGUAACACGUGAGUAACCUGCCCUUGACUUUGGGAUAACUUCAGGAAACUGGGGCUAAUACCGGAUAGGAGCUCCUGCUGCAUGGUGGGGGUUGGAAAGUUUCGGCGGUUGGGGAUGGACUCGCGGCUUAUCAGCUUGUUGGUGGGGUAGUGGCUUACCAAGGCUUUGACGGGUAGCCGGCCUGAGAGGGUGACCGGCCACAUUGGGACUGAGAUACGGCCCAGGCUCCUACGGGAGGCAGCAGUGGGGAAUAUUGCACAAUGGGCGGAAGCCUGAUGCAGCAACGCCGCGUGCGGGAUGACGGCCUUCGGGUUGUAAACCGCUUUCGCCUGUGACGAAGCGUGAGUGACGGUAAUGGGUAAAGAAGCACCGGCUAACUACGUGCCAGCAGCCGCGGUGAUACGUAGGGUGCGAGCGUUGUCCGGAUUUAUUGGGCGUAAAGGGCUCGUAGGUGGUUGAUCGCGUCGGAAGUGUAAUCUUGGGGCUUAACCCUGAGCGUGCUUUCGAUACGGGUUGACUUGAGGAAGGUAGGGGAGAAUGGAAUUCCUGGUGGAGCGGUGGAAUGCGCAGAUAUCAGGAGGAACACCAGUGGCGAAGGCGGUUCUCUGGGCCUUUCCUGACGCUGAGGAGCGAAAGCGUGGGGAGCGAACAGGCUUAGAUACCCUGGUAGUCCACGCUGUAAACGGUGGGUACUAGGUGUGGGGUCCAUUCCACGGGUUCCGUGCCGUAGCUAACGCUUUAAGUACCCCGCCUGGGGAGUACGGCCGCAAGGCUAAAACUCAAAGGAAUUGACGGGGCCCCGCACAAGCGGCGGAGCAUGCGGAUUAAUUCGAUGCAACGCGUAGAACCUUACCUGGGUUUGACAUGGAUCGGGAGUGCUCAGAGAUGGGUGUGCCUCUUUUGGGGUCGGUUCACAGGUGGUGCAUGCCUGUCGUCAGCUCGUGUCGUGAGAUGUUGGGUUAAGUCCCGCAACGAGCGCAACCCUUGUUCACUGUUGCCAGCACGUUAUGGUGGGGACUCAGUGGAGACCGCCGGGGUCAACUCGGAGGAAGGUGGGGAUGACGUCAAGUCAUCAUGCCCCUUAUGUCCAGGGCUUCACGCAUGCUACAAUGGCUGGUACAGAGAGUGGCGAGCCUGUGAGGGUGAGCGAAUCUCGGAAAGCCGGUCUCAGUUCGGAUUGGGGUCUGCAACUCGACCUCAUGAAGUCGGAGUCGCUAGUAAUCGCAGAUCAGCAACGCUGCGGUGAAUACGUUCCCGGG
rnacentral:rRNA from 1 species